rnacentral:lncRNA from 1 species
GAUGCUUAAAAAAGCAAUCGACUUACAAGGGUGUGAAAAAUGGCUCGAUAUUACAUCGAGAAAAGUAUGAUUUUUUUUGAAAAUGGUUUUGCAUGCAUGAUGGAUUUAAUAAAAAACAUGGACAUAAAAAAAAAAAUUACAAGAAACAAAAUACUAAAAGACAAUAAGAUAAUAAAAAAAAAAAGCUAAAAGAAAAUGAAAUACUAAAAAAAAAAAGCUACGUAUGAGUGUCGAACUCACUCCACCUAAGACUAU